rnacentral:rRNA from 1 species
ACGAAGUCUUCGGGAGUGGCGGACGGGUGAGUAACACGUGAGAACCUGCCUUAAGGUCGGGGAUAACAGUUGGAAACGACUGCUAAUACCGGAUGUGCCUACGGGUGAAAGAUUUAUUGCCUAAAGAUGGGCUCGCGUCUGAUUAGCUAGUUGGAGUGGUAAUGGCACACCAAGGCGACGAUCAGUAGCUGGUCUGAGAGGAUGAUCAGCCACACUGGGACUGAGACACGGCCCAGACUCCUACGGGAGGCAGCAGUGGGGAAUUUUCCGCAAUGGGCGAAAGCCUGACGGAGCAAGACCGCGUGAGGGAGGAAGGCUCUUGGGUUGUAAACCUCUUUUGUCAGGGAAGAACACAAUGACGGUACCUGACGAAUCAGCAUCGGCUAACUCCGUGCCAGCAGCCGCGGUAAUACGGAGGAUGCAAGCGUUAUCCGGAAUUAUUGGGCGUAAAGCGUCCGCAGGUGGUUGUACAAGUCUGCUGUCAAAGCGCGGAGCUUAACUCCGUAAAGGCGGUGGAAACUGUGCGACUAGAGUUCGGUAGGGGUCGCGGGAAUUCCCAGUGUAGCGGUGAAAUGCGUAGAUAUUGGGAAGAACACCGGUGGCGAAAGCGCGCGACUGGACCGAGACUGACACUCAUGGACGAAAGCUAGGGGAGCGAAAGGGAUUAGAUACCCCUGUAGUCCUAGCCGUAAACGAUGGGUACUA